UACGGAGGGUGCGAGCGUUGUCCGGAAUCAUUGGGCGUAAAGGGCGCGUAGGUGGCCACUUCAAGCGUGCGGUGAAAGUUCGGGGCUCAACCCUGAAUCGGCCGUCGAUACUCCUGGGCUCGAGCACUGUAGAGGCAGAUGGAAUUCCGGGUGUAGCGGUGGAAUGCGUAGAGAUCCGGAAGAACACCGGUGGCGAAGGCGGUCUGCUGGGCAGUUGCUGACACUGAGGCGCGACAGCGUGGGGAGCAAACAGG
rnacentral:rRNA from 1 species